rnacentral:rRNA from 1 species
GGGGAAUAUUGGACAAUGGGCGAAAGCCUGAUCCAGCAAUGCCGCGUGAGUGAUGAAGGCCUUAGGGUUGUAAAGCUCUUUUACCAGGGAUGAUAAUGACAGUACCUGGAGAAUAGGCUCCGGCUAACUCCGUGCCAGCAGCCGCGGUAAUACGGAGGGAGCUAGCGUUGUUCGGAAUUACUGGGCGUAAAGCGUGCGUAGGCGGUUACUCAAGUCAGAGGUGAAAGCCCGGGGCUCAACCCCGGAACUGCCUUUGAAACUAGGUAACUAGAAUCUUGGAGAGGUCAGUGGAAUUCCGAGUGUAGAGGUGAAAUUCGUAGAUAUUCGGAAGAACACCAGUGGCGAAGGCGACUGACUGGACAAGCAUUGACGCUGAGGCACGAAAGCGUGGGGAGCAAAC